ensembl:ncRNA K01A12.8 ncRNA
UGAGAGAUGGAGACGUCUUCUUCUCCUGCUUCUUCGUCUUCAUUUUUUCUUCGAUUCCUUCUUGACAUUCAUCGCCGUCGGUAAAAGAAAUGCACCCAUACCGCCGCCGACACAACUCAAGAAGUAGAAUU